rnacentral:rRNA from 1 species
AGAGUUUGAUCCUGGCUCAGGACGAACGCUGGCGGCGUGCUUAACACAUGCAAGUCGAACGGAAAGGCCUCUUCGGAGGUACUCGAGUGGCGAACGGGUGAGUAACACGUGGGCAAUCUGCCCUGCACUUCGGGAUAAGCCUGGGAAACUGGGUCCAAUACCGGAUAGGACCUCAAUACGCAUGUCUUCUGGUGGAAAGCUUUUGCGGUGUGGGAUGGGCCCGCGGCCUAUCAGCUUGUUGGUGGGGUGACGGCCUACCAAGGCGACGACGGGUAGCCGGCCUGAGAGGGUGUCCGGCCACACUGGGACUGAGAUACGGCCCAGACUCCUACGGGAGGCAGCAAAGGG